CCUACGGGUGGCAGCAGUAGGGAAUAUUGCUCAAUGGGGGAAACCCUGAAGCAGCAACGCCGCGUGGGGGAUGAAGGUUUUCGGAUUGUUAAAUCCUUUUGUUAGAGGAGAUAAUGACGGUAUCCAUCGACUAAGGACUGUCUCACUACGUGCCAGCAGCCGUGGUAAUAUGGAGGGUGCCACCGUUACUCGGAGUCACUGGGCGUAAUGCGCGCGUAGGCGGGAUAGCAAGUCAGAUGUGAAAUCCUAUGGGUUAACCCUAGAACUGCAGUUGAAACUGUUAGUCUAGAGUAUGAGAGAGGUAGGUGGAAUGCGUGGUGUAGGGGUAAAAUGCGUAGAGAUCAAGAGGAAUACUCAUUGCGAAGGCGACCUGCUAGAUCAUAACUGACGCUGAGGCGCGAAAGCGUGGGGAGCGAACAGGAUUAGAUACCCCUGUAGUC
rnacentral:rRNA from 1 species